rnacentral:lncRNA from 1 species
GUGUUAGCCAGGAUGGUCUCGAUCUCCUGACCUCGUGAUCCGCCCACCUCCGCCUCUCCAAGUGCUGGGAUUACAGGCAUGAGCCACCGCGCCCGGCCCUUGUAUUUUUAAACUUUGACUUUAUGGAGACGAACACCAUCGUUUGCUGAACACUUGAAACAUGAUGAAAGAGCCACAGAGUUGGCAGAACUGUUUGAAAAUGCUGUGCAAGCGGUCUUCUCUGUCUUCUUUAUGGCCAGUAAAAUUCUCCAGAAGAGAUUUAUGGCAGCCUCACUCCCAGUAGUUUCUGCAUUUAGUGAGAUAAGCCACAGCAAUUGUCUGCUAUUUUAAAAGCACUGUGAUGCUUAAAUAUUCCAGCUGCUACAUCGGACAGGUGUCUGAUGAUCCUGAGAACAGUCAUCAAAAAGUAGAACUUGAGCCUGGAAUACAUUCUCUGGCAUAGCCAUAGUCAAUCACCAGUAUAAUUAAUGUAAAUGGACACUGGAUAGCUUUUUUGUGAAUUCUGAUGCAGCACAAAGAGACUUUAAUUGUUUCCAAAAAGAAAAUGUCUGAGAUUAAAAUCUAGAGUUUUAUGACUUAGAGGAAAUUUUAUAGCUUUACUCCAAAAAGGGUAAGGCACAAAAUAUUCUGUGCCAAAGGAUGCAUAUUUGGUAUUUUUCCUAUGAAUCCCUUAGUGUAAGUGGCAUGAUGAAAUUUUCUUGGUUUCAACACAGAUGAUGUGUUGAGGUAGUGUUGAGGCUGAGAGGUGGGUGGGAUGGGUCUUGGAGAAGGAAAAGAUUUGUUUUGCAAGGUUUGUGGAGAGCUGAUGCGGUAGUGAGGCUAAGACGAGGGGUAUUUACUUGCUACUUACAUUGAGUCCACUAACAUCUGCAGCACUUUGCUUGCAUUAUCCACGCAAUUAUCACGGGAAACCUAUAAAAUAAGUAUUCCUCUCCUCAUUUUACAAAUAGGGAAGCAGAUAAGAUUUAGAAAAUUUCCCAAACUCACACAAUUAUUAAAUGACAGAACUAGGACUCAAACCCAGGUUUUAUUAAUUUUAGAGACAUGUUUUUAACCACUUGGACACUGCCAACCAUGGAAUUGUUGGUAUGAAAAAAACGUACUCUUGAGUUAUAUUAUCCAUGGUCUUAAUAUCAGAGAAGUGCAGUUGAGUCGCUAUUAAAGAAUAUGGUAAAAUUAUAAAAUGGAUACUAUACAAAGGUAUAAAAAUAUUAUAAAUACUUAUGUUUGGGGUAAAAGGAUCAAAGUAGCCAUGCUCAGUGGAAGGGUAAGGAACUCUUAGCAGAGAUUGAUUAAUUGGGAGAUAAUUGAUUAAUUGGGAGUUGAUUGAUUAAUUGGGAUUUAUUAAUUUGGGAGUAGGUAGGAAGAUAGGAAGUUGUAUAAAAUAAGGGAGAGAUAACUUAGUACCUGGAAAAAAAGAAAUGGAAAUAGGUAGAAGCUAAGAGUUCAAUUAAAAAAAAGGAAUAAAAGAUAUUGGAAGGGAACGAUGAAUGUAGCAUGGAAGAUCCAAGAUGAUGGGAGUUCAGGGGCUAAUUACAGCUAUGGGGAAAAAGUAAUGUAUAAGCUGGAAGCCAGAGAUAAGAGCCAUGUAAAUGAAGAAGUUGGGCCCCAAUAGGAAAGAAUUAUAAGGACUAGAAGGAGCAGGAGCCAUGUGGAAAAAUAUCAUGUAGUACUUUUAAGCUUGAUCUGUCAUCUGUAGCAAAACCAGCAUGCUUGAGUACUGAAUUGACCUGACUGAACUAUGUUGAAAUGUACUGUGGUUUUAUAUCCAUAUGCACUUGGUCUGUGGAGUUGUGGGAAAAGCAUCAGUGAGUAGGAAGCCCAAGGAUUUGGGUCAAGUAUUAAAUAUGCUAUUUACUGUCUAGCUAUGUGACCUUAUAUAAGUCACUUGUGGUCUCUGAGCCUUCAUGUAUUCAUCCAUAAGAUGAGUUGUUGUUUAUAUUAAAUGGGAUGUGGUAUGUUAAAGAGCUGAAUGCAUAGUGAUACAGAAUUACUUUCUGUAAUACUAUUUUUUAAAUAUUUUAAAUGAAAAAUUAAUGAACUUAUAAAUUAAAAGAUUCAAAAGGGAUAAAAAGGUAUACAAUGAAAAGCAAUUCUCCUUCCCACCAGUAACUCUGUCCUACUCCUUAGGACAUUCACCAUAAACAGAUAUCCUGAAUUCUUCUAGAAAUAUUAUAUAUAAAAUCUUAUAUUUCUUAUGUUUCUUUUUUACUAUUUUAAAGGGGAUAAACUAAACUUUGCUUUUUUUCAUAUAAUAAUAUAUUCUGGAGAUCAUUUUCUAAAAGCACAUGUAAACAUACCUCAUUAUUAUAAAGGUUUGAAAAUAUCAAUUUAUUUGACCUGUCCCCUCUCGAUAGAUAAUUAGAUUGUAUCCAUCCCUUUGGUUAUUACCAACAGACACUAAUCACUUAUCAUGUACAUAUAGCCUGUUUUUUAGCAUUGUUAGACAAAGUAGGCAUAUUCCUUUCCAUCCAAGAACUCAUAACCUAGUAAUUGUAGUUGGCUGAUAGCUCAUUGCCCAUACACAAGGAUCUAACACAACCUCUUGAAUAAACAUCCCCCUUAUUCAGAAAUGCCUUUUCCUAUUUCCAUAUUGCAACUUUGCUUACAAAUUUCCAAUCUGUCUUUCUGUUUACAGAAGAUAUACAAAAUUCCUUUUGUAUGAUCUCUUUAUAUCUCUUGAUUUUCUUUUGUGUUUGCUACCAAAGGGCCUGCACAUAGUGAGAAGAUUGUGCAUGAUCUGUGAGCUCUACCACACCUGGAAUUAGGGAUCACCAAUAUGAGAAAAAAAAUUGGAGGUACAAAUAACAUUAUCAUAUGUAAUUGGCAUAUAAAUUACAGAUGUAUCUAUGACUAAAAACCCUGUGGAUAUAAACCAAAUGCAGAUAAAUAUAAUAAAAUAUAUAAAAAUAUAAUCAAAUAAUGAUAGUGCUAUUCAAAUACUUCAAAUUUGCACAGUGAUUUAUUUCUUAAAAUAUGUUAACACAUGUGAGCCAAUACACUGAGGUCACUGGAU